rnacentral:rRNA from 1 species
CAGUAGCCGCGGGAAUACGGAGGGUGCAAGCGUUAAUCGGAAUUACUGGGCGUAAAGCGCACGCAGGCGGUUUGUUAAGUCAGAUGUGAAAUCCCCGGGCUCAACCUGGGAACUGCAUUUGAAACUGGCAAGCUAGAGUCUCGUAGAGGGGGGUAGAAUUCCAGGUGUAGCGGUGAAAUGCGUAGAGAUCUGGAGGAAUACCGGUGGCGAAGGCGGCCCCCUGGACGAAGACUGACGCUCAGGUGCGAAAGCGUGGGGAGCAAACAGGAUUAGAUACCCCUGUAGUCCCUGUCUCUUAUAC